rnacentral:rRNA from 1 species
UACGUAGGGUGCGAGCGUUGUCCGGAAUUACUGGGCGUAAAGAGCUCGUAGGUGGUUUGUCGCGUUGUCCGUGAAAACUCACAACUCAAUUGUGGGCGUGCGGGCGAUACGGGCAGACUGGAGUACUGCAGGGGAGACUGGAAUUCCUGGUGUAGCGGUGGAAUGCGCAGAUAUCAGGAGGAACACCGGUGGCGAAGGCGGAUCUCUGGGCCUUACCUGACGCUCAGGCACGAAAGCUAGGGGAGCGAAACAGG